CGCGUGGGAACGUGCCCUUUAGUUCGGAAUAACUCAGGGAAACUUGAGCUAAUACCGAAUACGUCCGUAAGGAGAAAGAUUUAUCGCUAAAGGAUCGGCCCGCGUAAGAUUAGCUAGUUGGUGAGGUAACGGCUCACCAAGGCUAUGAUCUUUAGCUGUUCUGAGAGGAAGAUCAGCCACACUGGAACUGAGACACGGUCCAGACUCCUACGGGAGGCAGCAGUGGGGAAUAUUGGACAAUGGGCGAAAGCCUGAUCCAGCCAUGCCGCGUGGGUGAUGAAGGCCCUAGGGUUGUAAAGCUCUUUCAACGGUGAAGAUAAUGACGUUACCCGCAGAAGAAGCACCGGCUAACUCCGUG
rnacentral:rRNA from 1 species